GACGAACGCUGGCGGCGUGCUUAACACAUGCAAGUCGAACGGAAAGGCCCUGCUUUUGUGGGGUGCUCGAGUGGCGAACGGGUGAGUAACACGUGAGUAACCUGCCCUUGACUUUGGGAUAACUUCAGGAAACUGGGGCUAAUACCGGAUAGGAGCUCCUGCUGCAUGGUGGGGGUUGGAAAGUUUCGGCGGUUGGGGAUGGACUCGCGGCUUAUCAGCUUGUUGGUGGGGUAGUGGCUUACCAAGGCUUUGACGGGUAGCCGGCCUGAGAGGGUGACCGGCACAAUGGGGAGGAAGAUGCGGCCGGGCCUCCGCGGGGGGGAAGAAGGGGGGAAUAGUGCAGAAGGGGGGGAAGCCUGCGGCAGCACCCCCGGGUGGGGAUGAGGGCCUUGCGUUUUAAAACCGGGGUGCGCCGGUAAGGAAGGGGGAGGGAGGAAAAGGGAAAGGGAGACCCGGGCUAGCUAGGUG
rnacentral:rRNA from 1 species